rnacentral:lncRNA from 1 species
GCCUUAUUGUGCAUAUUUGUUUAAACAAACAAAAAAAGAAAAAAGAAAGAAAGAAAAAACAGCAGUAUAGCCUAUGGGCUAUUUUUAUCUUGUAAGGAUCUAUUUCUUUAAAUUUAAAAUAAUGAUUUUAGAAUAUGGUUUUAUCUUGAGGUUAAUGUAUUCAGUUAUUCUAAAAUCAUGUGUUUGUAAGUUUCAAAGAAAAUUUAUCACCAUUUCAUUUUGCUUAAUUAACCUAGAAAGUAAAAAGGGUGUGAUUAAGCUACAUUAAUUCUUAGCACAAUCUACAAAGAAUCUGUUAUGACCUUGAUUUUCUUCUUGACAGUGAUAAUGACCCUAAGAAAAAUAAAGCUUCUGUUUUUUUCAAUCAGAAUGAACCAUGAAUGUUAUUCUACUUAAGUCAGCCAACUUAAUAGUAAAAGACAAGCAAUUUCAAAAAAUAAAAAAAGGCUGGGGCUGUAGAUCAGUGAUAAAGUACUUGCCUAACACAUGUGAGGUCCUGGGUUCAACCCCCAGUACCAAAAACAAAACAAAAUUUAAAAUAAACAAACAAAAAACCCUUGAAAGGUGGAGAGACAGAUCACCUAGCAAUCUCAGGACACAAAGAAUGACAUUGUGGUAUAUUCUCUGGAUUAUCUUUUUUCCCCCUCAUAUAAAUCAGGCUUGGAACUAAGAAAUCAGCAAUGCAGAAAUGUCAAGAGGUAAAUCCAAGCAAAAACCCCAAACAAAGCCUGCACUCUCUAUAGAAAGACCUGGAAAGGACAGCCUAGCAAAACCAAAAUCAAACAAACCACACACAGAGACACUAUAUAGAUGUCUUUAAGCUAAGCUCAAUCCAUAGAAGAAUUUAUGAUCGCAUUUUCUCUACACCAGGAAAAGCAGAGGAAGGUAAACUUGACUUUCAUCCAUAUGGGGCUGUAAAGUGCCUCAGUAUCCACUACUGCAGUAGUGGUCAGAGAAGGUCAAGUAGGGAUCUGGACCUUGAAAUCUUCUGGCCAAUAAUGAGCCCUCUAUCAUUUCACUGGUAUCAGUGGAGAUCACAGGGUAGCUUCUAUCCUUAACCAGCAGCAAAGAGGAGCCCCUUCCUUUCUCUAAUGGGAUGAUGUCAGAGGAAGAUAGAAGUAACAAGACCACUACUAACAA